rnacentral:tRNA from 1 species
GAGAUGGCUAGUAGGUAAAAGUGCUUGCUUUGAAAGCAAGAAGACCUGAGUUCAAGUCCUCAGUACUCA